AUGAUUUUUUUCGUUGCUGGAAGUUCUAGUGAUGAAGCUGAUGCCGAUGAUGAAUUGACAGACAAAAGCACCAGAGAGCAGGCUUCUAGUGCUUCUGGAAAAGCUUUGUCCGGCGGCAUGUCUAGCGAUGAAAAAAAUCAGAGGCAUAUUUCUGCUAGAACUUUGAUGCCUCCUCCUCGCCCUUCAAACAAGAUGUUAAGAUUUGGAUAA